UCCGCUGUUAGUCUGAUGGACUUCCCUUCGUGGGUAACCCGACCUUUCUCUCUGGCUGCCCUUAACAUUUUUUCCUUCAUUUCAACCUUGGUGAAUCUGACAACUAUGUGUCUUGGGGUUGCUCUUCUCGAGGUGUAUCUUUGUGGUGUUCUCUGUAUUUCCUGAAUUUGAAUGUUGGCCUACCUUGCUAGGUUGGGGAAGUUCUCCUGGAUAAUACCCUGAAAAGUGUUUUCUAACUUGGUUCCAUUCUCCCUGUCACUUUCAGGUAUACCAAUCAAAUGUAGAUUUGGUAUUUUCACAUUGUCCCAUAUUUCUUGGAGGCUUUGUUCAUUUCUUUUCACUCUUUUUUCUCUAAUCUUGUCUUCUCGCUUUAUUUCAUUAAUUUGGUCUUCAAUCACUGAUAUCCUUUCUUCUGCUUGAUCGAAUAGGCUAUUGAAGCUUGUGUAUGCUUCUCAAAGUUCUUGUACUGUGGUUUUCAGCUCCAUCAGGUCAUUUGAGGUCUUCUCUACACUGGUUAUUCUAGUUAGCCAUUCAUCUAAGCUUUUUUCAAGGUUUUUACCUUCUUUGUGAUGGGUUAGAACAUGCUUCUUUAGCUCGGAGAAGUGUGUUACUACCAACCUUCUGAAGCCUACUUCUGUCAACUCGUCAAACUCAUUCUCUAUCCAGUUUUGUUCCCUUGCUGGUAAGGAGUUAUGUUCCUUUGGAGGAGAAGAGGCCUUCUGGUUUUUGGAAUCUUCAGCCUUUCUGCUCUGGUUUCUCCUCAUCUUUGUGGUUUUAUCUACCUUUGGUCUUUGAUGUUGGUGACCUAGAGAUGGGGUUUUGAUGUAGAUGUCCUUUUCAUUGAUGUUGAUGCUAUUGCUUCCUGUUUGUUAGUUUUCCCUCUAACAGGCCCCUCCGCUGCAGGUCUGCUGGAGUUUGCUGGAGGUCCACUCCAGACCCUGUUUGCCUGAGUAUCACCAGCGAAGGCUGCUGAACAGCAAGUAUUGCUGCCUGAUCCUUCCUCUGGAAGCUUCAUCUCAGAGGGGCACCCACCUGUAUGAGGUGUUUGUCAGUCCCUACUGGGAGGUGUCUCCCAGACAGGCUACACAGGGGUCAGGGACCCACUGGAGAAGGCAGUCUGUCCAUUAUCGGAUCUCAAAUGCAGUGCUGGGAGAACCACUGGUCUCUUCAGAGCUGUCAGGCAGGGACGUUUAAGUCUGCAGAAGUCGUCUGCUGCCUUUUGUUCAGAUAUGCCCUGCCCUAGAGGUGGUAUCUAGAGAGGCAGUAAGCCUUGCUGAGCUGAAGUGGGUUCUGCCCAGUUUGAGCUUCCCUGCCACUUUGUUUACACGGUGAGCACAGAACCAGCUACUCAAGCCUCAGCAACGGCGGACGCCCCUCCCCGCACCAAGCUCCAGGGUCCCAGGUCAAUCUCAGGCUGCUGCACUAGCAGUGAGCAAUGCUCCGUGGGCGUGGGACCUGCCACACCAGGCACAGGAGGUAAUCUGGUCUGCUGGUUGUGAAGACCAUAGGAAAAGCACAGUAUUUGGGCAGGAGCAUACCGUUCCUCCAGAUACAGUCACUCACAGCUUCCCUUGGCUAGGAAAGGGAAAUCCCCCUGACCCCUUGCGCUUCCCCAGUGAGGCGACACCCCACCCUGCUUUGGCUCGCCCUCCAUGGGCUGCACCCACUGUCCAACCAGUCCCAGUGAGAUGAACCAGGUACCUCAGUUGGAAAUGCAGAAUGCAGAAAUCAUCGUCUUCUGUGUCGAUCUUGCUGGGAGCUGUAGACCAGAUCUGUUCCUAUUCGGCCAUCUUGGAAGCGACUCCAAUAAUCCUGAAUUCUAAAACUCCUCUUAAGGAAUAAUGAACUUGGACUCCCAUUUUACAGAUGAAAAAACUGAGGCUUGAAGAGUAGCAGUGUCUUGUCAAGGCCCAUAUAGAAAGUAAGAGGCCAAGCCACUGAAAGAAGGUUGUCUGCUUAGAAGGCACUCUUUCCAUUAUACCAGGUGACGAGAAAACACACCCAGAUAAAGACUAUAUGGACAGAGAGCACUGCUCAGACUUCAUGUGGAAAUGGAAAGCUGAGCAGUCGCCUGGGUUGAAAGAACAGAAUGUUCUUCACUGCAUUGUCAUUCAGCUUCCAGGAAUGCUGCAUUUCAGUGGGUAUGCCUGUCAUCCAGCCGCUAAUUCAGCUUGACAAGGCCAGAAGCCAAAAUCAUCUUGAAACCCAGUUCUCCCAUUACAGCAGCCUAUGAAACAAAAUACAUUCCAAAAAACAGACAGUAUGGUCUGAGAUAAAGCAUGUUCUCCAACUACAGCUCCAUCAGAUGGCACCCAGAGGGCCCUCCCUCUACCACAACCUAGCUGGCUGGGGUCCUGGGAACACAGGCCCCUAACUUCUGGCCCCAAGUUUAGCACCAAGUUCAGCCUACUCCUGCAAGACUAAACUUGUUGGGACUUGGGACUGACCCCAUGUUAUACAUCUUGUGGAAGUUAGGGUGGGAGCAAGAAGGGAUCCAUUCGAGCAAGAAACUUGCAGGUGAACCAAUGUGGAUCAUGCUUUACCUUUCAGAGAAAUUAACACAUUGGUCCUUGAAGACUGAAGACUGAUCACUCACAGAAGCAUCUGACUGCCUCAAGUGACACUAUCAUUUGCUACCUUGUAGACUGAUGCAAACAUCCAAUAGUGAGCAAAUUACAUUGAUAGAGGACAUGUUGGAUAUAUACCACCUUACUGUCAGCAUGCUGGAAAUCAUGUUGUCAUAUACAUAAAUGUAGCCUUCCAUGGUACACAGUUGCUAUGGUUUGAAUGUGCUUCACAAAGUUCAUAUGUGGGAAACUUAAUCACAAAUACAACAAUGUUCAGAGGUGGGAUCUUUAAGAGGUGAUUAGGUCAUGAGGGGCUUUGCCCUCAUGCAUGGAUUCACGUCAAUAUUGUGGGAGUAGGUUUGUUCUCACAAGAGUGGAUUUGUCAUAAAAGUGACUUCUGUUCCCCUCUUCCUCUUGCUUUCAUGUACACUCUAUCUUGCCCUCUCUCAUCCUUCUGUUUUCUGCUACGGGAUGAUGCAGCAAGAAGGCCCUCACCAGAUGCAGGCCUCUUGAACUUGGACUUCUCUGCCUCCAGAACCAUGAGCCAAAUACAUUUAUUUUCCUUAUAAAUUACCUAGUCUAUAGUACUCUGUUGCACAAAACAGACUGAGACAUUCGUGCUUGGUAUACUUCAUGGUUUCAUAAAAGUACAAAUAGAAACCUAAAAGUUCAGGCCGGGCACGGUGGCUCACGCCUGUAAUCCCAGCACUUUGGGAGGCCGAAGCAGGCAGAUCACGAAGUCAGGAGAUCAAGACCAUCCUGUCUAACACGGUGAAACCCUGUCUCUACUAAAGAAAAAAAAAAUACAAAAAAAUUAGCUGGGUGUAGUGGCAGGCAUCUGUAGUCCCAGCUACUCAGGAGGUUGAGGCAGAACAAUCAAUGGUGUGAACCCAGGAGGCAGAGCUUGCAGUGAGCCAAGAUCACACCACUGCACUCCAGCCUGGGCAAUGGAGCAAGACUCCAUCUCAAAAAAAAAAAAAAAGAAACCUAGAAGUUCAGUGUGCAGUCAUGGCUAGCUGUCUAACAAAGAGUCAUGCCCUCUCUCUGUCAUGUAAGACAGACAUGGCUGUGGAGAAGAAGUUCCUGUCCAGGGUCUGUAUUUCCAGUUCUCCUUGUGUCUAGGUGUGACUGCAAGGUGUAAGAGAGCUAAUAUGUGUCACUUCUUUGUUCAGAUGUUUAAAAAGAAAAUGUGUCUUUUCCACGCCUCCUAUCUCUCCAUUUCUGGCUGUAUGUCAAUGCCAGUGUAACCUGAAAAGUUGCACAGCAUGGCCUUUGUCAGCUUGGGUGAAGAGUAGAGAUCCUUCCCUCCAAAUUCAUGGUCUGCAUCACUAACAGUGAACUGUUACAUGAGCUGAGAGGGAACUCUAAUUGUGUGAUGUUUCUAGUUUGGGGGUUUGUUAGAAUAGCUAGCUCUGCCCUAUCUAAUAGAGUUGGCACACUGUGAACAUAAUAGAAACUUUAAAUGAAAUAUUGUUCUCACUGGUCCUUUUUCUAUGUCUAUAAUCUAGGAAGAAGAUUUAAUUUUAAAAUAUAAGUGUAUUCAGAGCAGUAGAGCAAAAUUGAUUAGAGGGUAUUAAAUAACUCCUUAGUAGAAACAGCUAAAGUAAUAGUGUUUACUUCACCUAGGGAAGAAAAAGCUUAAAGGAGUCUAGUUAAACUGUCAAUGAAUAUAUGAAGGUUCCAAAAAUUUUAUAUGGCAGAUAGUGAGAAACUAUUUUUCAAGUUCACUGAACAUAAAACAAAUACAGAAGGCUCUGUGUGAUGGCUAUAAACUAAUACCGUAUCUAAGAAAAUGGGGAAGACUGAGGCUGGGUAUGGUGGCUCACGCCUGUAAUCCUAGCACUUUGGGAGGUUGAGGCAGGUGCAUCACUUGAGGUCAGGAGUUCAAGACCAGCCUGGCCAACAUGGUGAAAGCCCGUCUCUACUACAAAACAAAAAUUAGUUGGACGUGGUGGCGGGCACCUGUAAUCCCAGCUCCUAGGGAGGCUGAGGCAGGAGAAUCACUUGAACCCAGGAGGCAGAGGUUGCAGUGAGUUGAGAUGGCGCCAUUGCACUCUAGCCUGGGUGACAGAGGGAGACUCAGUCCCAGAAAAAAAAAAAAAGAAAGAAAGAAAGGAAAGGAAAGGAAAAGGAAAAGGAAAGGGGGAAGAUUGAAAAUAGAGUUUUUGUGAGAAUCUGAUUCUGCAGAUUUAGGAGGGACCUGGAAAUUCACUUUUCCUUUUUUUUUUUUUUUUUUUUUUUUG
rnacentral:lncRNA from 10 species